GUAUUUUCCUUGAUCUUUUUCUUCAAAUUUUUGAUGGCUCUUUUAUCAUGAUAUUCCACUAUGCACACAAGGAUCAAAACCAAAGUUCAUGAAUAAAUGCUUUAAAAUUACAAUGCAGCUGGAAAUCAGGAGCUCCAUGCUGAACAACUUUUGCACGUACUUCCUGUUAUGUAUUAAAUUGCUACACAACAUACAGCUAAUAACACAAAUCAUUAAGUAUGUUCCAGACACCUCUGAAUAUUUAAGAACUUGGAAUCCAGAUCUGGAUGUCUCAGUUUCUUAAUAUGUACUUAAUAAUUUUUCCAUUGAAUAUGUAUGUAAAUCUGCUAUCUUAAUAUAUAACUUGGACAGUGGGGAAUAAUAAGUAAUUAAAAGAAAAAUAAUCAAAUGAUAUGUCAAAUGAAUCUCUGCAGAGUGAAAGGAUCCCAUCAUCAAAAUACAUGCAAAGAAAGGAAGAGUGAAGGAAUUCAUAACACCAUGAGAGCUGCAUGGUCAACUUAUGUCACUUCUGUCACCCUGCUGAGUGCCAUGUAACACUGCCAAUGCUUGGAAGCACUGACUGCUGGCAUCUGCAAGAUGGAAGGACAGAAAGACCUGGACACAUUGACUACAUCUAAACUCUUAAACAAAAUUAGUCAGAGAAUUUUCCUGGAGACCAGCUGGCAUGAAAGAGCUUGAAUCUACACAGAUAAACUCUCUUGCCCUCCAAAUCAUGGUGGCCACAUCCAAAAUAUCUAUUGGAGAUGGUGCCUGACUUGGGUCAAUACCCAAGCUGUGCUUUGGUAUUGACCAAAUUCCAUGUCUGGAAGAGCAUUAGCAGUCUUGCACCAAAACCAUGCAAGGGACCAGUUUAGUGGUAUGGAUGGUUUCGGGCCCAUGCCUUGCUGGUCUUGUUUAGUUUAUUUAAUGUCAGAGGGAAACCUCAGAAAUUCUGCCAGGAGUCAACAGGAAACCCCUUCUGGCCUCAGCAACCAGAAGCUGCUGAGAAGUAUAAUCAUUAGGCUGUACACCUCCUUCACAUUUGGAUUUUUUUUCCUCAUGUUAUUUUUUACCAAAUGAGCGCUGAAAAUUUUUGAAAUCUCAUUGAGUAAUAAAAUUGGGUUGUUGCCUGCGCAAAA